CCUACGGGUGGCAGCAGUGGGGAAUAUUGCACAAUGCUGGUAACCCUGACGCAGCGACGCCGCGUGAGUGAAGAAGGCUUUCGGUACGUAAAGUUCUAUCAGCAGGGAAGAAAAUGACUGUACCUGACUAAGAAGCUCUGGCUAAAUACGUGCCAGCCGCCGCGGUAAUACGGAGGGGGCGAGCGUGAUCCGGAGUUACUGGGUGUAAAGGGAGCGUAGACGGCAGCGCAAGUCAGGAGUGAAAUCCCAUAGCUUAACCAUGGAACUGCUUGUGAAACUGUACAGCUAGAGUACAAGAGAGGAAUGCAGAAUUCCUGGUGUAGCGGUGAAAUGCGUAGAUAUUAGGAGGAACACCGGUAGCGAAGGCGGCUUACUGGACUGUAACUGACGUUGAGGCGCGAAAGCGUGGGGAGCAAACAGGAUUAGAUACCCGUGUAGUC
rnacentral:rRNA from 1 species